AUUGAACGCUGGCGGCAUGCUUUACACAUGCAAGUCGAACGGCAGCGCGGGGCAACCUGGCGGCGAGUGGCGAACGGGUGAGUAAUACAUCGGAACGUACCCAGAAGUGGGGGAUAACGUAGCGAAAGUUACGCUAAUACCGCAUACGUUCUACGGAAGAAAGUGGGGGACCUUCGGGCCUCAUGCUUUUGGAGCGGCCGAUGUCUGAUUAGCUAGUUGGUGAGGUAAAGGCUCACCAAGGCGACGAUCAGUAGCUGGUCUGAGAGGACGACCAGCCACACUGGGACUGAGACACGGCCCAGACUCCUACGGGAGGCAGCAGUGGGGAAUUUUGGACAAUGGGCGCAAGCCUGAUCCAGCAAUGCCGCGUGAGUGAAGAAGGCCUUCGGGUUGUAAAGCUCUUUUGUCAGGGAAGAAACGGCUGAGGAUAAUACCUUCGGCUAAUGACGGUACCUUAAGAAUAAGCACCGGCUAACUACGUG
rnacentral:rRNA from 1 species